rnacentral:siRNA from 1 species
CGAAUUUGGUUGCUCUUAGACCGC